rnacentral:rRNA from 1 species
UACGUAGGGUGCAAGCGUUAAUCGGAAUUACUGGGCGUAAAGCGUGCGCAGGCGGUUUCGUAAGUCUGUCGUGAAAUCCCCGGGCUUAACCUGGGAAUGGCGAUGGAGACUGCGAGGCUAGAGUUUGGCAGAGGGGGGUAGAAUUCCACGUGUAGCAGUGAAAUGCGUAGAGAUGUGGAGGAACACCGAUGGCGAAGGCAGCCCCCCUGGGUCAAAACUGACGCUCAUGCACGAAAGCGUGGGGAGCAAACAGG